AACGCGAAGAACCUUACCUGGGCUUGAACCGCUACUGACCAAGGGUAGAAAUAUCCUCUUCCCGCAAGGGACAGUAGUAGAGGUGCUGCAUGGCUGUCGUCAGCUCGUGCCGUGAGGUGUUGGGUUAAGUCCCGCAACGAGCGCAACCCUUACUCGUAGUUGCCACCCGCAAGGGGGAACUCUACGAGGACUGCUCCGGAUAACGGAGAGGAAGGUGGGGAUGACGUCAAGUCAGCACGGCCUUUAUGUCCAGGGCUACACACGUGUUACAAUGCAUGGUACAGACUGUUGCGAACCCGCGAGGGGGAGCUAAUCGGACAAAGCCAUGCUCAGUUCGGAUUGCAGUCUGCAACUCGGCUGCAUGAAGCUGGAAUCGCUAGUAAUGGCGCAUCAGAUCGGCGCCGUGAAUACGUUCCCGGGCCUUGUA
rnacentral:rRNA from 1 species